rnacentral:rRNA from 1 species
UACGUAGGAGGCGAGCGUUGUCCGGAGUUACUGGGCGUAAAGGGCGCGUAGGCGGUCUUGCAAGUCCUGUGUGAAAUCCCUCGGCUCAACUGAGGAACUGCACAGGAAACUGCUUGGCUUGAGUUCGGGAGAGGGAAGCGGAAUUCCGGGUGUAGCGGUGAAAUGCGUAGAUAUCGGAAAGAACACCAACGGCGAAAGCACUCUGCUGGGCCGACACUGACACUGAGAGACGAAAGCUAGGGGAGCGAAUGGG